GUGUAAUAGAUUCUUGACAGUCCACUGUCGGCUGACAAGCUCUUUUAUUAAUUAUGCAUUUUCUUACCAUGCAUUCUUGUAAAUAACUGAGCAGCUGUCGCAGCGCUUCGGUCUGGACCCGGAAUAAAUAUGACCCAAAUUACGUGUGGCCGUAUUGCGUAUUGUAAAACAAUGAACGUUUCAUAUAUAGCGGGUUAUUCUUUAAUGACACGCAUAAGAUGCCAUUUGCCAUACUUUUAUCAUUGACAAUAUGAUCUCUGUGCGUAUGAUUUUGAUGCUGUACAUAUCUACUUCCCCACCCAUAAUUUCCCAAUGCUUAAGGACUGUUUUAUACGUCGAAUUUUGGUCGCGCCGAAUGCAAUUAAGACAAUAGAUAAUGAGAUGAUAAACCUCAUUAAGCUUCAUUAUCUAUUGUUUGAAUUGCAUUCG
rnacentral:lncRNA from 1 species